rnacentral:lncRNA from 1 species
CUGUGCAGUAGUCGUGAACGCGCACCGCCAGACCUCCGCUGUUGCUGCGUGCGCGCCCCCGCGCUCCCUCAGGUGAAUGGAGCGAGGCACAGCACAGGAGUCCGGCGUGCGUCUCUGGCCGAGCUGAAGGGACUAAAAUGGGGCUUCGCGGACUGACCAGGGUGGGGGUGUACAUGACAGUCUGCCUUCUGUGGGUGGCUGGAUGCUUUACCCAAAAAGUUUACUUUGAUUGUGGCGCCAAGGUGGAUGUUGUGGAUGUGCAGGGCCUCAUUCUGUCACCUGGCUUCCCGUAUAACUAUUCAUCUGGAACUCACUGUGUUUGGCAGUUCUUUGUACCUGUUGGUCAUCAGCUAAUCAUGGAGAUGUUUGAUUUUGAUGUCUUUGAGAGUCACAACAGUCCUGCAAGAUAUACCACCACAUCUGUUGCCAUUGUGGAUGAGGAACCGAAAGAUGGUGGCUCGCUUGUAUCAAAAAGCCUCGGGAGUCCAAAGGAACCCCAGUCCACACACAGAGAGGAUGUCAACCAAUUGGUGAUCCAAGAGCAGUCCACCAAAAUGGAGAUGACCAAAGUUUCCAAUUCUGCCAAAAUGCUUUCUGAUUCCCCCUCAGCUCCACAAGCAUCUCUUCCAGUUGAAAACAGAAAUUCUAUUUCAUCUCAGGCAUCAAGAGCAGCCAGUGACUUUACCUCUACAAGCCCACAUACAGCCACAGAAACAGAUGACACUUUGAGCACUGAGACCCAGCCACCUUUGUUUGAUGCCUGUCCCCAUGAUGUCCUCUACAUAUCUGAUCUCAUCACCUUCUCCUCCCGAUUCUGUGGCUCUAGACGCCCUUCUAGCAGCCAGUUGGUGUUUGGGUCUGAUGAUGACAUGGUGGAGGUCAUUAUGGAGUUGAUUACCACUACUCACUGGGGCCGUGGUUUCGCUCUCCUCUUCCAUUAUCAGAAUCAAACACAGGCAGCCACAAGAGAACAGCAGAGAUCGCUAGUGACCUCGGACAGCAGAACUGGUGCACUGCUCGGUGCUAUAAGUGGAACAAUUGUGUUUGCUGUGGUCCUUGCUGGCAUCCUCUGUGUGAUUUUCAGGCCAAAACUAUGCGCAAAAGGUGCCAAUGCUUCCUCUUCCAUCAGCUCAGAGGUUCCAGAAGGAGUGCUAAAUUCAGCGGCAGAUGUGAGUGAACUUCAGAUGGUUUCUCCUAAUCACUUGGAGCAGCAGUCGAAUACAGUGAACGACAACAACAACCAUUCUCUCAACCGCAGUCUGUCCCAUACAGGGUCUUCAGUGAAUGGAGUAUGUGACGUGCCAGAGAAGGCCGCUCUAGAGCAGUUCUCCAGUGGUUUGACUGAAUUAGAAUUAGGCACAGAUGAGGUUUUUGUCAUCGCUUCUGCACCCAACUCAGCCCAACUGCCUUUCUCUCCACAUACUCAACAAGACCGUUUUCUGAGACACAGUGACACGGGACCCAGCCGCCCCUUUGACUGGCCGACUCCAGACCAAGCGCUGCCUUCUGUGACAAAGAGCAUCCAUGCCGGAUUGACAAACAGCGCACGACCACGAGCAUGGAGCGUCCGAACCUUCCAGGAUCUCCUUCCACCUCUUCCUCAACUCCAUAAGAAAUGGUGCAGCUGGAACUCAACCAGCCCAUUCACAAAGCUGGUGGACAGUGGACUCCCAAUCACAGCUACAGACUCUGGAAGGGGAAAGGUCCUAUCUGAUGCUCCUCUUCAUAGUCCUGCCAACAGCUGCCAGUCCGACUCCUUCAUGAGUAACGCCUCGUACCCCCUGACUCAACCUGCCCAGUGCCAGCGACGCCUCAACUCCACCAGCAACCUCAGACGCGCACGUUUCAACACUCCAUGCUUUGGCCUGCUCUCUGGCACGUCCGAGUCCUCCAAACCACAAGCGAAUGGAAUUACAACCUCAAACACGUUCUCCGACACCAGCGGUGCCCCAUCUAGCCAGCUGCAGGUCAAAGGUCCAAUAUCAGGCAUUGAGGAUGACCACGUCACGGUACCAGUGUUUGCAAUCUCAGAAGAGGAAGACCGACAGCCUCUUGUGUCAGCAGAACAUCCCGAGAAGCCUUUGAGGAUGAAUGGACAGAUGUUCGAAGGCACAAAGAUGCCACUGCUAUCGAAAAGCCAAGUUCCCAGCAUCCAACCAAUCUCUUUAGCGAGGGGAGGCCGUGGUGGAGCACUGGAGACGCAGGAUCCUUCAGCUCUCUCUUGUUAACAGUGACUCCAGAAAUGAAGUCUGCCAGUGCCAUGAAGUUUGAGUAUGAUGCUCAGUGACCAAUUCAGCCAAUAAAUGAUCUCAACAGGAUUGAAAACUCACAGCUUAUGAGCUGCUCCUGGUGUCUUCAUAUGGUGUGAAGCACAUGCAAUAUGCUGUGGAGUUUCAAAAGGGUUUAUGAAUAUUGGCAUGAGGGAAAAAUGUAAGCACUUAUUGUUCUUCCUGUUAUUGUAUCUGCACAGUUAAUUCGCUAAAACCUUCUAACAGUAUAUUUUAUAACCUGCAAAUGUAUGUAUAUGAUAAACCAAGAUCACUUAAUGUUUCUACUCACUACAGAGAGUUUGAGUUUGUAGACUGGGUGCAUUAUUACUUUCAUUAUGAAAUUCCAUGUAUCUGCUCUAUGAACAAUACGGCUUGUUCUAAUCCCUUUGCAACAUGUAGAAGACCAAUUAGCUGGUCUGGUAGAAAGCUGCUUGGCAUCUCUCUUGACUUCCACACGUUUUGUUUCUUGUAAUCACUAAGGGUCCAAUACACAUAUUGUACUGUUAUGUAUGAAUGGAAAUGGCAUAUAUAGUCUUAUUUCUCAAGGGACAUAAUCACUGAAAAUUUCGUUUCAACUUUCUUCUACAGUCAAGUUACUGUUUUUCACCUGUAUCACUUACUAUGUGUCUUGUGGCAAUCAUCUAUGCUGCUAAAUAUGCACUGAUGCAAUACAUGAAAUUGUGUAUACGGUCAUAUUUUUAUAACGAAUUCAAGUUCAUAUAUGCUGCAACUGUUUUCAUUAUAAUGGUGAGUUUUCCUGAAUGCAGUAAUAAUGUCAACUGUACUGACUGAUGGAUUAUAAAGGGAACUGAUCACUGUACAGACAUUUACAAUGCAGUAACUAACAUUUAAUGCAAAUAAAACCUUGUAUAGUGAUGUGUGGAGCUGUAUUUUCUUGUACAAACAUUUCAGAAUAUGCAUAGAAGGGAC